ACGCUGGCGGCAUGCCUAACACAUGCAAGUCGAACGGUAUGAUGCUUUCGGGCAUCAGAGAGUGGCGCACGGGUGAGUAACGCGUGGGAACCUGCCCCUGGGUACGGGACAACGUCUGGAAACGGGCGCUAAUACCGUAUACGUCCUUCGGAGAAAGAUUUAUCGCCCUGGGAGGGGCCCGCGUCCGAUUAGCUUGUUGGUGGGGUAAUGGCCUACCAAGGCGACGAUCGGUAGCUGGUCUGAGAGGAUGAUCAGCCACACUGGGACUGAGACACGGCCCAGACUCCUGCGGGAGGCAGCAGUGGGGAAUAUUGGACAAUGGGGGCAACCCUGAUCCAGCAAUGCCGCGUGUGUGAUGAAGGCCUUAGGGUUGUAAAGCACUUUCACUGGUGAAGAUGAUGACGGUAUCCAGAGAAGAAGCCCCGGCUAACUCCGUGCCAGCAGCCGCGGUAAUACGGAGGGGGCAAGCGUUGUUCGGAAUUACUGGGCGUAAAGGGCGUGCAGGCUGUGAUUUAAGUUGGGCGUGAAAGCCCGGGG
rnacentral:rRNA from 1 species